UGAUCAACACUUGUAUAUAGUGCCAUUUACUUUGUGUUGUUCACUCUCGCGCUGUGUUGUGAUCGUUCGAAACUCAUCGCCAGAACGAAUGCAAAUUUCAUAUGGGAAGGAUUGGUGCCGGUAGAUGCAGCGAAAAUUAUUAAAUGAUAAUAGAAAAGUGGUUAAGUAAAUCGUGAAAGAUGUCAACGCAGGCGUAAAUGCAGUAUGUUUUGUUACAUGAUCUACGGCUAUUUCAUUGCCAAAGCUCCUGAUAACAUAUCAAAGCAGAUGGAUCGGGCUUACAGAGUCGCCAUUUAACUUAAAAUAUCUUCGUGAUCGGAAAACGCAUCAAACAGCAAGUGUUUUUCUUCCAACAGCACGCGCCAUCGGUGGAGCAAGCAGCCAACGUUUUGAUCGCCAGUACGCGCCAUCAAGAAUUGAAAUAUUCCCGAAUAGCUCUGUGAAUAAAAAACUGCACACUUACUGUCCGAAUUUCCUGGAAUUUUUUGAUCGGUCUACGCUCGCGGGAAUGGUGGGUCCGUUUGGGAGAAGGAAAGAAAGGGUGGGAGCGAGGAUUACCCAAAAACGCGGCAUUGAGAAUGCCUCCCCUCAUUCUCAGCUCAGUGCUCAGCGCUCACGCUGG